rnacentral:rRNA from 1 species
GGGGGUACGUUGACCGGAAUAUUCGGGCGUAAGGGCUCGCAGGCGGUUUCUUAAGUCUGAUGUGAAAGCCCCCGGCUCAACCGGGGAGGGUCAUUGGAAACUGGGGAACUUGAGUGCAGAAGAGGAGAGUGGAAUUCCACGUGUAGCGGUGAAAUGCGUAGAGAUGUGGAGGAACACCAGUGGCGAAGGCGACUCUCUGGUCUGUAACUGACGCUGAGGAGCGAAAGCGUGGGGAGCGAACAGGAUUAGAUACCCUGGUAGUCCACGCCGUAAACGAUGAGUGCUAAGUGUUAGGGGGUUUCCGCCCCUUAGUGCUGCAGCUAACGCAUUAAGCACUCCGCCUGGGGAGUACGGUCGCAAGACUGAAACUCAAAGGAAUUGACGGGGGCCCGCACAAGCGGUGGAGCAUGUGGUUUAAUUCGAAGCAACGCGAAGAACCUUACCAGGUCUUGACAUCCUCUGACAAUCCUAGAGAUAGGACGUCCCCUUCGGGGGCAGAGUGACAGGUGGUGCAUGGUUGUCGUCAGCUCGUGUCGUGAGAUGUUGGGUUAAGUCCCGCAACGAGCGCAACCCUUGAUCUUAGUUGCCAGCAUUCAGUUGGGCACUCUAAGGUGACUGCCGGUGACAAACCGGAGGAAGGUGGGGAUGACGUCAAAUCAUCAUGCCCCUUAUGACCUGGGCUACACACGUGCUACAAUGGACAGAACAAAGGGCAGCGAAACCGCGAGGUUAAGCCAAUCCCACAAAUCUGUUCUCAGUUCGGAUCGCAGUCUGCAACUCGACUGCGUGAAGCUGGAAUCGCUAGUAAUCGCGGAUCACAUGCCCGGGGGGAAAACCUUUCCCGGGCCUUGUACACACCGCCCGUCACACCACGGAGAGUUUGUAACACCCGAAGUCGGUGAGGUAACCUUUUAGGAGCCAGCCGCCGAAGGUGGGACAGAUGAUUGGGUGACAGAAAAAAACCGGGAAAAAAAAGAAAAAAAAAAAAAGGCGGGG